GGGCGGUUAGCUCAGUUGGCUAGAGCGUUGCAUUGACAUUGCAAAGGUCACAAGUUCGAGUCUUGUACCGCCCACCA
rnacentral:tRNA from 1 species